rnacentral:rRNA from 1 species
GACGAACGCUGGCGGCGUGCCUAAUACAUGCAAGUUGAGCGCUGAAGGUUGGUACUUGUACCAACUGGAUGAGCAGCGAACGGGUGAGUAACGCGUGGGGAAUCUGCCUUUGAGCGGGGGACAACAUUUGGAAACGAAUGCUAAUACCGCAUAAAAACUUUAAACACAAGUUUUAAGUUUGAAAGAUGCAAUUGCAUCACUCAAAGAUGAUCCCGCGUUGUAUUAGCUAGUUGGUGAGGUAAAGGCUCACCAAGGCGAUGAUACAUAGCCGACCUGAGAGGGUGAUCGGCCACAUUGGGACUGAGACACGGCCCAAACUCCUACGGGAGGCAGCAGUAGGGAAUCUUCGGCAAUGGACGAAAGUCUGACCGAGCAACGCCGCGUGAGUGAAGGAGGGUUUCGGAUCGUAAAACUCUGUUGGUAGAGAAGAACGUUGGUGAGAGUGGAAAGCUCAUCAAGUGACGGUAACUACCCAGAAAGGGACGGCUAACUACGUG